rnacentral:lncRNA from 1 species
GGAUAAGACGUUGUAUCUUGAACGAAGAAAUGUUGCUCCGUAGCAACAUCCCCAAUCCGAAUUUUGACAUCUGGACAAGCUCCAUAUAAUUCGCCCCAUGUGUUAUUAGCUGCUCGUAUUGCCCAUCCAUGUUCCAUAUCAAUUGGCCAUUUUUGCUUCUUAUAAAGAUCUUUAGACAUGAGAUUUAUUUCAGAACCAUAGUCGACCAAAGCAACUAUUGGUUCUUCUAUAUCUCCUACCUUCACCAAUACCUCAGUAGUUGCCUUUGCCCAAUGCUUUCGAGUAUAAUGGCUCAAAGUUU